rnacentral:rRNA from 1 species
UACGGAGGGAGCUAGCGUUGUUCGGAAUUACUGGGCGUAAAGCGCGCGUAGGCGGCUUUGUAAGUUAGAGGUGAAAGCCCGGGGCUCAACUCCGGAACUGCCUUUAAGACUGCAUCGCUUGAAUCCGGGAGAGGUGAGUGGAAUUCCUGGUGUAGCGGUGGAAUGCGCAGAUAUCAGGAGGAACACCAAUAGCGAAGGCAGCUCGCUGGGACGUUACUGACACUGAGGCGCGAAAGCGUGGGGAGCGAACAGG